UUAUACCUCAUAGUAUUAUUGAUUGGCAUCAUAUAUUAAGUUCGGUGGUAAAAGAUGAGUAUGCGUUCUAUUAGCUAGAUGGUGUGGUAACGGCACACCAUGGCUACGAUAGAUAGGGGGCCUGAGAGGGGGAUCCCCCACACUGGUACUGAGACACGGACCAGACUCCUACGGGAGGCAGCAGUGAGGAAUAUUGGACAAUGGAGGCAACUCUGAUCCAGCCAUGCCGCGUGCAGGAAGACUGCCCUAUGGGUUGUAAACNGCUUUUAUACAGGAAGAAACCGCUCUACGUGUAGAGCUCU
rnacentral:rRNA from 1 species